AAAAUGUGUUAUUUCUCAUAGAAGUGUUUGGAGAAAUUUUUACGGAAUCAUGAAGUUCUUCUAGUCCGGCAUCUGCAGCGUGCCAACUGUAUGGCAGCACUACAGCUGAGCCAGGCGAGGAACGUUCAUCUCAUGACCGAUUGUGAUCCUCGCUGGGGACAGGGGGCAGCUGCCAGAAAUUCUCUGUCAGCAAAACAUGGCAAGAUCCUUCCUCGAGGUCAGAGGCAGCUGGCUGUAGAGAGAGCCAAGCCUUACCAUCUGCCUUCAUCCGGACCAAGAGGAGCCGCAAGACCAAAGCCAUUCUCGACAGUAACAGGACAAGCUAAUGCAGGAGAUGUGCCUCCCAGAGCACCUUUCAGCAGUCGUGUACUGGCCAAAGUUAGAGAGUUAUGGGUUUCCAUCGCAGGAAUGCUGUUCUCACCAACGCAGUCAAGAGAAUGAGUGCCUCUGAGAUGCUUGGAGAGAAAUGUUCUGCGGUUCCUUGUGAAUUACAGCUGUUCCUCAAAUAAAAAGUGUUUCCCAAUGCACUGUGCUGUGUGGGUGACCCAUACGUGAGGUAGAGGGAAAAAUGCAAGUGGCGGUUCCUGAUGUGCCUGUUGGUUCAGGUCACUCACUCCUGGGCUGUGCAUCA